rnacentral:lncRNA from 1 species
CAGUUUGCAGCAUCACAGAAAAUGAUGCUCUCUCCUGCCAAGUCCCAUUUUUUGGGAGGAGGAAAUGGAUUAGGUCCUGGAGGUUGUCAUAAAUGCAUCAAGUGACUUUCUCAGCAUCAUCUGAAACAUGCAGCCAUCCAGCCCAGAACACAACAAGAAUAGAGUUGAUGAGCCCUCUUCUCCUCAACAAACACCUGUGAAAAAUGGGCCAAUUCACAGCUGCAAUGGUUGGGAGAAUUUCCUGUCUGGGAGUCUGGAAACUGCCAAGAGUGGAAAGCUGCAGCCAGCCAGCGAGGCCUCUGUUGUCACUGGCCCAAACAACAACAAAAACAACCGCAACAACAACAACAACAACAAAACAUGCCACGUGUGCACUGGCAUAUACAAACACGCCCACAGAACCAAACCAAGCGGACAAGGCUUCAAGGAGAGCUUCUGGGCGGCUCAUUCCCGCGGCGAGGCAUAUCCCUUGGCAUGGUGCCACUGCAGCCCAGCUCCCAGCCCCCCCGCCAUCUGUCAUCAGCGCUCUGCCUACUGUGGCAUUUCCCUCUUUGCUCGGCACCUCUCCCUAUUGCCGCCAUAUGAAAAAGGAGGUGUUUGCUUCCCCUUCCACCAUGAUUGUAAGUUUCCUGAGGCCUCCCGAGCCAUGCUGAACUGUGAGUUAAUAAAACCUCUUUCCUUUAUAAAUUA